GCCCGCAUGGCUUAGAGGUAUAGCGUCGCUCUUGUACUUGUGAGAGAAGCGAAGAUCGUUGGUUCGAGUCCGACUGUGGGCA
rnacentral:tRNA from 1 species